rnacentral:rRNA from 1 species
CCAGUGGCGAACGGGUGCGUAACACGUGAGAAAUCUAACAUUCGGCGGGGGAUAGCCGGCCCAACGGCCGGGUAAUACCGCGUACGCUCCUUGAGGGGCAUCCCUUGGGGAGGAAAGCAGCAAUGCACCGAAUGGGGAUCUCGCGGCCUAUCAGCUAGUUGGUGAGGUCACGGCUCACCAAGGCGACGACGGGUAGCUGGUCUGAGAGGAUGGCCAGCCACAUUGGGACUGAGACACGGCCCAGACUUCUACGGGAGGCAGCAGUGGGGAAUCUUGCGCAAUGGGCGAAAGCCUGACGCAGCGACGCCGCGUGCGGGAUGAAGGCCUUCGGGUUGUAAACCGCUGUCGGGAGGGACGAAUACAUGACGGUACCUCCAAAGGAAGCACCGGCUAACUCCGUGCCAUCAGCCGCGGUAAUACGGAGGGUGCGAGCGUUGUCGGAAUCACUGGGCGUAAAGGGCGCGUAGGCGGCCUGAUAAGUAGGGGGUGAAAUCCUGCGGCUUAACCGCAGGGCUGCCUUCUAA